GAUGAACGCUGACAGAAUGCUUAACACAUGCAAGUCGAUUCGAUUUACCUUCGGGUAUUGAGGAUGGCGGACGGGUGAGUAACGCGUAAGGAACUUGCCUCUUGGUCUGGGACAACUGUUGGAAACGACAGCUAAUACCGGAUAUUAUGAGAUUCUCGCAUGGGAAACUUAUGAAAGCUAUAUGCGCCAAGAGAGAGCCUUGCGUUCCAUUAGCUAGUUGGUGGGGUAACGGCCCACCAAGGCGACGAUGGAUAGCCGGCCUGAGAGGGUGAACGGCCACAAGGGGACUGAGACACGGCCCUUACUCCUACGGGAGGCAGCAGUGGGGAAUAUUGGACAAUGGGCCACAAGCCUGAUCCAGCAAUUCUGUGUGCACGAUGAAGGUCUUCGGAUUGUAAAGUGCUUUCAGUUGGGAAGAAGAAAGUGACGGUACCAACAGAAGAAGCGACGGCUAAAUACGUGCCAGCAGCCGCGGUAAUACGUAUGUCGCAAGCGUUAUCCGGAUUUAUUGGGCGUAAAGCGCGUCUAGGCGGAAAAAUAAGUCUGAUGUUAAAAUGCGGGGCUCAACUCCGUAUUGCGUUGGAAACUGUUUUUCUAGAGUACUGGAGAGGUGGGCGGAACUACAAGUGUAGAGGUGAAAUUCGUAGAUAUUUGUAGGAAUGCCGAUGGAGAAGUCAGCUCACUGGACAGAUACUGACNCUAAAGCGCGAAAGCNUGGGGAGCAAACAGGAUUAGAUACCCUGGUAGUCCACGCC
rnacentral:rRNA from 1 species